AUUGAACGCUGGCGGCAGGCCUAACACAUGCAAGUCGAACGGUAACAGGGAUCAGCUUGCUGAUUCGCUGACGAGUGGCGGACGGGUGAGUAAUGUCUGGGAAACUGCCUGAUGGAGGGGGAUAACUACUGGAAACGGUAGCUAAUACCGCAUAACGUCGCAAGACCAAAGAGGGGGACCUUCGGGCCUCUUGCCAUCGGAUGUGCCCAGAUGGGAUUCGCUAGUAGGUGGGGUAACGGCUCACCUAGGCGACGAUCCCUAGCUGGUCUGAGAGGAUGACCAGCCACACUGGAACUGAGACACGGUCCAGACUCCUACGGGAGGCAGCAGUGGGGAAUAUUGCACAAUGGGCGCAAGCCUGAUGCAGCCAUGCCGCGUGUAUGAAGAAGGCCUUCGGGUUGUAAAGUACUUUCAGCGGGGAGGAAGGGAGUAAAGUUAAUACCUUUGCUCAUUGACGUUACCCGCAGAAGAAGCACCGGCUAACUCCGUG
rnacentral:rRNA from 1 species